rnacentral:rRNA from 1 species
CCUACGGGUCGCAGCAGUGGGGAAUACUGCACAAUGGGCGCAAGCCUGAUGCAGCCAUGCCGCGUGUAUGAAGAAGGCCUUCGGGUUGUAAAGUACUUUCAGCGGGGAGGAAGGCGAUAAGGUUAAUAACCUUGUCGAUUGACGUUACCCGCAGAAGAAGCACCGGCUAACUCCGUGCCAGCAGCCGCGGUAACACGGAGGGUGCAAGCGUUAAUCGGAAUUACUGGGCGUAAAGCGCACGCAGGCGGUCUGUCAAGUCGGAUGUGAAAUCCCCGGGCUCAGCCUGGGAACUGCAUUCGAAACUGGCAGGCUAGAGUCUUGUAGAGGGGGGUAGAAUUCCAGGUGUAGCGGUGAAAUGCGUAGAGAUCUGGAGGAAUACCGGUGGCGAAGGCGGCCCUCUGGACAAAGACUGACGCUCAGGUGCGAAUGCGUGGGGAGCAAACAGGAUUAGAUACCCGUGUAGUC